rnacentral:rRNA from 2 species
GACAGAGGCCUCGAGCGUUAGGCGGAAUCACUGGGCUUAAAGCGUGUGUAGGCGGAUUUCUAAGUACCUUGUGAAAUCCCACGGCUCAACCGUGGAACUGCUCGGUAUACUGGGAGUCUUGAGCCAUCCAGGGGCUACCGGAACAAAUGGUGGAGCGGUGAAAUGCGUAGAUAUCAUUUGGAACGCCAAUGGUGAAAACAGGUAGCUGGGGAUGUGCUGACGCUGAGACACGAAAGCCAGGGGAGCAAACGGG